rnacentral:rRNA from 1 species
AGAUUGAACGCUGGCGGAAUGCUUUACACAUGCAAGUCGAGCGGCAGCGCGGGGCAACCUGGCGGCGAGCGGCGAACGGGUGAGUAAUACAUCGGAACAUGUCCAUUUGUGGGGGAUAGCCCGGCGAAAGCCGGAUUAAUACCGCAUAAGCCCUACGGGGGAAAGCGGGGGACUUCGCAAGAGGCCUCGCGCGAAUGGGUUGGCCGAUGUCCGAUUAGCUAGUUGGUGGGGUAAAGGCUUACCAAGGCGAUGAUCGGUAGCUGGUCUGAGAGGAUGAUCAGCCACACGUGGGACUGAGACACGGCCCAGACUCCGUACGGGAGGCAGCGAGUGGGAUUUGGACGAGUCGGGCACCUGAUCCAGCCACGUUCCGCGUGAGUAGAACGGUAACGGUCCGUUACGGGUUAGUAACGUU